rnacentral:snoRNA from 2 species
GAGUUAGCAGUGAUUAUAAAAGUAAUUCUUCGUUCUGACUUGCUUAGUUUGGGCAUGAUAAAUCUCUUAUUAUAACUAUAGAAUCUGAACUAC